UCCAUAAUGGUGUAAUGGCUAACAUCGCUGUCUUUCAGAUUGCAGCUCGGGGUUCGAUUCCCCGUUGUGGAA
rnacentral:tRNA from 1 species